rnacentral:rRNA from 1 species
GAUGAACGCUGGCGGCGUGCCUAAUACAUGCAAGUCGAGCGAACAGACGAGGAGCUUGCUCCUCUGACGUUAGCGGCGGACGGGUGAGUAACACGUGGAUAACCUACCUAUAAGACUGGGAUAACUUCGGGAAACCGGAGCUAAUACCGGAUAAUAUAUUGAACCGCAUGGUUCAAUAGUGAAAGACGGUUUUGCUGUCACUUAUAGAUGGAUCCGCGCCGCAUUAGCUAGUUGGUAAGGUAACGGCUUACCAAGGCGACGAUGCGUAGCCGACCUGAGAGGGUGAUCGGCAACACUGGAACUGAGACCCGGUCCAGACUCCUACGGGAGGCAGCAGUAGGGAAUCUUCCGCAAUGGGCGAAAGCCUGACGGAGCAACGCCGCGUGAGUGAUGAAGGUCUUCGGAUCGUAAAACUCUGUUAUUAGGGAAGAACAAAUGUGUAAGUAACUAUGCACGUCUUGACGGUACCUAAUCAGAAAGCCACGGCUAACUACGUG